AGCUACGUGAUAAGCACAGAGCGAACUAUUCUUUCGCCUUUUACUAAAGAAUAUCGUAUGCUCGUCACAUAAAGCAGUAUACAUCAAUUUUUGAAGGGUGCGCGUCGCAUAG
rnacentral:snRNA from 1 species